AACGAACGCUGGCGGCAGGCCUAACACAUGCAAGUCGAGCGCCCCGCAAGGGGAGCGGCGGACGGGUGAGUAACGCGUGGGAAUAUGCCCUUUGCUACGGAAUAGUCUCGGGAAACUGGGGGUAAUACCGUAUACGCCCUUUGGGGGAAAGAUUUAUCGGCGAAGGAUUAGCCCGCGUUGGAUUAGGUAGUUGGUGGGGUAAUGGCCUACCAAGCCGACGAUCCAUAGCUGGUUUGAGAGGAUGAUCAGCCACACUGGGACUGAGACACGGCCCAGACUCCUACGGGAGGCAGCAGCGGGGAAUCUUAGACAAUGGGGGCAACCCUGAUCUAGCCAUGCCGCGUGAGUGAUGAAGGCCUUAGGGUUGUAAAGCUCUUUCAGCUGGGAAGAUAAUGACGGUACCAGCAGAAGAAGCCCCGGCUAACUCCGUG
rnacentral:rRNA from 1 species